AUUGAACGCUGGCGCCAUGCUUAACACAUGCAAGUCGAACGGCAGCAUGGGCUGUAGCAAUACGAAUUGAUGGCGGGUGGCGGAUGGGUGAGUAAAGCGUAAGGACUUGCCUUUGAGAGGGGGAAAACCCGGCGAAACUCGGGCUAAGACUGCAUGAAGUCGGAAGACCAAAUGGGGGGACCGGGAAAAAGGCCAUCAGCUCUGAGAGGGACUUACGUCGGAUUAGCUAGUUGGUUAGGUAACGGCUGACCGAGGCGACGAUCCGUAGCUGGUCUGAGAGGACGAUCAGCCACACUGGGACUGAGACACGGCCCAGACUCCUACGGGAGGCAGCAGUGGGGAAUUUUGGACAAUGGGGGCAACCCUGAUCCAGCGAUGCCGCGUGAGUGAAGAAGGCCUGCGGGUUGUAAAGCUCUUUCGGUGGGGAGGAAGGUUAUUGGUUUAAUAAACCAGUGAAUUGACGUUACCUACAAAAGAAGCACCGGCUAACUCUGUGCCAGCAGCCGCAGUAA
rnacentral:rRNA from 1 species